AGAGAGAGAGAGAGAGAGAGAGAGAGAGUUCAGGUAGUAAUGAACAUCACAGAACAACAAUUCAUGAAAUGAAUAAAUGAGUAAAUGUGAGGAUAACACCUUGUGUUUCUGGGAACAGUGUCUCUGUGGAAAUGAUAAUGGAACUGAAAAGAGAAAACUGUAGAACAUUCUAGCAUGGUAACAUUGUAGGCAUAUGUUAAACAAGUCCAAGGGGCCUGGGCGGGGAAUGAGUUUAUCUCGAAGCACAGAUUUUUGCACUGUGCCAUCCACUUGUAUCCUGUAAACACCAAAGUGUCCUUGACACAGUCACUGACUACACCCGGAAAGUGAGAGGUGCUGUGUGCCUACAACCGGCUGCAGACAGGCAUUGUUCUUUACCUCUUGAGAUGACACAUUCAUCCACUGCAAGCCACUUCCCACAGAAGAGCCCCUGGCAUUUCCUAUGUGUAUGACAGACAUUAAGGGGUUAAAUGGAGACUUAAGAUCUAUCAGCCUGGUUCAGCCCAUUCUCCUGUGGUGGACACAUCGAUGAUCACUGGUCUUUCCAUGUGACCCUUUGCACUUUCCUAAGUAAAAGAGAGCACACCUUGCAAGAACUUGGACCUGGAAACUAAAGUAUAAGUGCCUUCCUGUGGUCAGGUUCAUGUAUGUUCACAACAGUUUUGGGAGGGGUCAUCCAGCCUGAACUACAAAUGAGGAAAACAAUCUUCCAAGGCUCAGGGUUCUAAUUAAAAGCGGGGCCUUGCUCCUGAUGUUACAGAAGACCUUAACUGGAAAACUGGACUCAA
rnacentral:lncRNA from 1 species